rnacentral:rRNA from 1 species
ACCCGCUGAAUUUAAGCAUAUAAGUAGGCGGUGGAAAAUGAACCAAAUGGGAUUCCUUAAGUAAUUGCGAAUGAACAAGGAAAUGCUCAGCUUGAAAAAUGGGGCCUUUGGCUCUGAAUUGUAAUUUUGAAAUGUAUUGCCAAUGGAGGCGCAGGUGCAAGCCUAUUGAAAGAAAGCGUCAAUGAGGGUGAGAUUCCUUUUUGUCAUUUGCAGUCCUCCGUGCACGGUAUAUAUUUGACGAGUCACACUCCUCGGCAUUGGAAUGCAAAGUGGGUGGUAAAUUCCAUGUAAAGGUAAAUAUAUUAUUGAGACUGAUAGCAAACAAGUACCAUGAGGGAAAUACGAAAAGGACUUUGAAAAGAGAAUUAAAAGAGUCUGCAUUUGCUGAACAGAAAGCAAACAGAAUUGAUUUUACUUGGUGAGAUUGUUGUGCUUACUCUAUCAUUUAUAUGGUUGAUGUGGGUGCGAUGGUUCUUACCUUGAAUGUCAGCUUCUAUUUCUGCAAAUCAUUACCCUUGCACAUGAAUGGUAAUUUGCCUGCGGGUAUUGGAGUGCAUGUGUUUGCAAUGAUUUGUGAUUUGACGCAUGUGUUUGGUGAAAUUUGUAUAUGCUCUUUUGUCGAAGGGGAAAGCUUACUUUUUUGAGCAUUGCAAGCCCUUACACAUCAGUGCUGGCAAAAUGUUUCUGCUUGACCCGUCUUGAAACACGGACCAAGG